UCCUCCUACAAAGGCGUGCUUGUAUUGUUUGGUUUACAAGUGCGUAAGAACUGGAGGUAUAGUGAAGUGAAUGAUGAUUUUUAAAUAACACUGCAGAAAGCAGUUUGCUGGUCAGCAUUCCUACACGU